UGCAAGGACACACCGAUUCGGUGUUUGUUUACGGUUGGUACUUUAUACACGAACGGAAAAUCGAGCCGCAGUCGCGAGUUUUACGCGGUACCGCCGCGGUUUGGUCAUUUUUCAAUCGUUUGGUUGUCCGACAAUUAAAAAAAAAUUUUUUUUGUAAUUGGGUGAAGUGGAACGAUAUUGCAUUACUUUUUUAUGGACAAAAGUGCCGCAGGUGUUGUGAAAUUGGAAUAAGAAUUGGGUUGUGACAAUGAUUACAACAAUUUGAACCGAGAAGGACGCAUGCAUUAACAAUCUAAAGUUGAAUAUAAACCUCUCGUCCACGAAAGCGGAUUAUCCCAGGACGAGCAAGUCAUCAAGGGACAAUUUGUUUUGGAGACUGCAGAAAUCCCAAGAAAGGUCUACCCAAAAAAGCG